UAUGCCCCAAAAGGCAUCACAGUGUGGCUGCUGUGUCACGUGUGCAUCAGUAGGCCACAGAAAGGAGAGAGGCUGUGUCUACACUCAGCAUUCUAACGUGAAAUUCCGAAUUGCUAGUAGCCUAACAUU